rnacentral:misc_RNA from 1 species
GUGAUUUUGAAUCGUUACCUUCAGUGCUGGCUGGGCCCAGCUCUAGCAAGUGCACGUUGGUGACUUUCAUCCAUACCCCUGUGAACCUUUGGCCUCUUGUUGGCUUCGGCUGACAGAGGAUUUUACACACCAACUCGAAUGUAAUGAAAUAUAUUGUCGUGCGCAAGCACUAAUGUA